GCAACGAAUUUGCGAAGUUCGGAACGAAGUGUUCGCAACAUUUUAGUGAAAAGUAAGUUGAAAUCGACUGUAAGUGAAGUGGAGCUGUUGUGGUUCUGUUUUACAUCAAGGAGUUUAAGCAAGCCACGUUUUGUGUCAACCGAACGUCAGCUUGUCGAGGGGGGGGGGGGCUGCAGGAUUAAAAACUUUGUUUGUAUCAGUUUGUGGUAAUCUUUCAACACAUAUGACAAAACAUAAGGUUUUUAAAGUUUUUUGCUUCCUUGCGCGAGCGCUAUGAUUCAAAAUGCCGCCAGAAUAGACCUUUCCGGUAAUUACGUCACGACUAACACUGUUUUCAACUUGGGACCAUCUUAAAUGGAAUGGAUUUCAAGUUUGUUUCUCACGGGCUAUGGUCAGCGAAGCAGAACAUAGUUCUUCAACACAUGCAUAAAAAAAAUUUGGAUUUUGACCAAUAAAUGUGGAAAUAAGCUUAAACACGAAAACGAGGCUUAGGAGCCCAGCCUCGUUUUCGUGUUUAAGCCAUAGAUAUCUUAUAUACACUAGAUAGCGCAUCUCUUUUAGUAAAAUUAAAGCCAAGAAUAUUCCAGCGUUACUCCCAUUUGAAUAGAUGGUGUCCAUGUUGGAUUUUCCCACUCGCUAAUAAACACUUAAAAAACAACAAUAACUUUCAUCAUUUGAAUAGUUUGAAAAUGUAUUUGGAAUAGGUUUAACUUAAUGUUUAAGUUCCCUGUAUAAGAAAUAGAAAACAUACGAGUCUUCUCAUUUCAUGGGAAUAUCCCGAGUCUGCAAUCAUGGCUUCAAUUUUUGAAUUGCAGAAUAAUUAGACGCAC